GACGAACGCUGGCGGCGUGCUUAACACAUGCAAGUCGAACGGAAAGGCCCUGCUUUUGUGGGGUGCUCGAGUGGCGAACGGGUGAGUAACACGUGAGUAACCUUCCCUUUACUUUGGGAUAACUUCUGGUAACUGGGGCUAAUACCGUAUAGGAGCUCCUGCUGCUUUGUGGGGGUUGGAAAUUUUCGGCGGUUGGGGAUUGACUCGCGGCUUAUCAGCUUGUUUGUGGAGUAGUGGCUUACCAAGGCUUUGACGGGUAGCCGGACUGAGAGGGUUACCGGAAAAAAAGGGACUGAGAGACGGACCAGAGUCGAACGGGAGGAAGAAGUGGGGAAUAUAGCAAAAUGGGGGGAAGGAGGAUGCAGGAAAGACGCGUGCGGGAUGACGGCCUUCGGGUUGUAAACCGAUGUAGGAUGAGACGAAGGGUGAGUGACGGUAAUGGGUAAAGAAGCACCGGCUAACUACGUG
rnacentral:rRNA from 1 species